AUCAAGCUGAUGAGUCGCAAAUAAGACGAAGUGUCGUGAAUCCUAGAU
rfam:Schistosoma curassoni strain Dakar, Senegal genome assembly, scaffold: SCTD_scaffold0000023